UCUCCUAUCGAACCUCUAUAUAGAGAGAGGAACCUCAAGUGAUUUCAUAUCUUAAAAGAGAAGGACUUUGAAAAUAUGGGUCAAGCAAUUUUUUGCGUUUUGAGAAUUUGAAAACCGGAACAAGCCUGUAUGUGCGAGUUGGAGAAAUGCAAAUAGAAAAAUCGAGGGAGUGAAAAAAAAAAUUGAAAAUUGCAAUGCGAAAAGCAGUCGAAAAUGGAGAGCAUUGUAGAAAUUGAACAAAGUAUUUAUACAAAAGUUGUUGCUCAAAUGCACAGAGGUCCCAUGUUUGAGUAAUAUUAGGAUGAUGAAGUUAAAAUUGCUGAAUUUGAAUUAAGAUGGCUUUCCCUCUUCGUUUGGGUAUCAGAGACUGAAGCGGUGAGAACUUGCAACAGGGCAUUAAAUAAAGCUCUCCCAAUAAGAUAAGAUCCCAAUUAUCACGAAAUUCUUUCGGUUUUUUUUUGUAUGUCCAUGCAUUUUAUUAAUUUUUUUUAAGUGAAACAUUGACUGAUAUUGGAAUGACGUGGAUUUAUAUUUAAAAUUAUACAUAUUUUCGUUUGAAUGUAUAAAAAAUCUUCUGAAGAAAUUAUAUCUUAGCAAAAUAAAUGUUUGUGUAUAUGCAUUAAGAUGGAGGUAUUUUUCACAAUUAAAGUACUCCGGAUCAUUUUGGCAAUGAAGAAUCUUACCGUAGAGGGUGAAAUUUCCAUUUGAGCUUUUUGACGUCCCGCAUUCGAAGAAUUUGCCGCACGAGG
rnacentral:sRNA from 14 species